CCAGAUUCUAAAAUAUAGAAAUAUUUUAAAAUUGUUAGCUUGUUUUAUUUCAGAUAUUGUAUCAAGUGAUAGCUGCAAUUGAUGAUUUACAAUGUCAAAUGAUGAUUUGAGGAUCAUUUUCUAAAGCACUUCACAGUUACUGUAGGCUGUCUUCCCAGCACUUUAUUUGUGCUUUAAGAAGAAACAAUUAAAUUUGAGGUCAAAUAUUCAGCAUUAGACCCAUAGUCAUUUCAAGUAUGCAAUAAGGUAUGACAAGGACACUCUGCUCACAUUGACACCAAUUAAUAACUUUCCUGAUGCUAGGGCGUAUUGAACUGGACACUGUCUAUUUCAUAAUAACCUUGCCAAAUUCCUGAAAAUUUAACAACCAGCUUCAAGCAAAUUUGCUUCAAUUGAGCCUGUUUGUAUCUAGUUUGUCCAUAGUUGUUGCCUUUGUCAUCCCCAUCACAUUCCACUGUGAGGUCCUUGAGAAGAAUGUCUCUUUGCCUUUCCCAGCAUCUCUAGCAUUUAGUCCAGUGGCAGGCAGGGGCACCAAAACAAAACCAAGCAACCCUGGGGACUCCGUGCAGCUGGGUGUGUGGGAUUUGGCUCCAAGGAGAGGGCUACUCGCUCCAUUCAGCUCUAAUGCAUGA
rnacentral:lncRNA from 1 species